UACGAAGGGGGCUAGCGUUGCUCGGAAUGACUGGGCGUAAAGGGCGCGUAGGCGGACAGCUUUGUCAGGCGUGAAAUUCCAGGGCUCAACCUUGGGGCUGCGUUUGAGACGGGUUGUCUUGAGUGGAGAAGAGGGUCGUGGAAUUCCCAGUGUAGAGGUGAAAUUCGUAGAUAUUGGGAAGAACACCGAUGGCGAAGGCGGCGACCUGGUCUUUUACUGACGCUGAGGCGCGAAAGCGUGGGGAGCAAACAGG
rnacentral:rRNA from 1 species